UACGUAGGGUGCGAGCGUUGUCCGGAAUUAUUGGGCGUAAGGAGCUCGUAGGCGGCUUGUCACGUCGGAUGUGAAAGCCCGGGGCUUAACCCCGGGUCUGCAUUCGAUACGGGCAGGCUAGAGUGUGGUAGGGGAGAUCGGAAUUCCCGGUGUAGCGGUGAAAUGCGCAGAUAUCGGGAGGAACACCGGUGGCGAAGGCGGUUCUCUGGGCCUGUUCUGACGCUGAGGAGCGAAAGCGUGGGGAGCAAACAGG
rnacentral:rRNA from 1 species